CCCACCAAUUUUCCUUGCUCAUAUCGAUGGUGUUUCCAUUUCCCUCCUCUUCUCUCAUCGAUUUCUCUAGCUUUACUGAUCAAUCUUCUUCUCUGUGCCCCUACAAUCUUUUUCUUAAUGCCUUUUCUGUCAUACCCAGUUCGCAUUUUUUGCUUUGCUUUUGCUGUUUUCUCCUUUGUUUUUCUGUACAAUUUUUUCGGGUUUCAUUUCGUUGGAGAUUUCUUUCUUGGAUUUCGAGGCAGCCCAAUUGGCCUUACCUACUAUCCAAUCUAUAACAGCGUUGUUUCUCACUGUAAUAUCCAUCAUGGCAGGUAUUUGGCUACGUCCUGGCUUGCGGGUCCUCUAUAAUUUUUCCAUUUCCAGACUUGUUUUUUAAAUUUACUUGGGAGGCCACCGGUUUUCAACUACAGAAGACAGAUUUAUUAUGCUUCUGAUGGUGGAACAAUUGCUUUGGAUUGGUUGAUGCAUUCUGAUGGUAAUUACACCACUUUCAAAGUUACAAAAUGACUCUCUCACACACAAACAUACACAAAGUGGUGUAUGCUUGCUGAUAAGUUUAGAUAAUUAUAAUUUCUUUUUUUCAAUACUCAUUCAUCAAUGCUAUUAAGGUGUAUACAAAUUGAUGCCUUCAAUUUUCUAUAUCUACUCUCUAUCCUUCCUAUCUUCAUUAUUAGGAAAUUGGGUUUCUGUCUUUUCAAUGAAGUUCAAUUCCUCUGCAGUUUCAGGGGGUUCUUUUCUCAUGAAUAAUGCCAUUUCUAAAGAUGACACAAUUCCUACUGUGAUUGAUUCCUUGUGUUAUUUUUGCUGACUUGAAUUUUGAAUAUAUUCUCGACCUGAAAGUUUUGUGCUGCUACUUGAUUGGGAGUGAGAUCAAUGGUGGGCUUCAGGCCUGAGCCGGUAUGGACCAGUAUAAAUAUUAUAAUAUUCUACAAUUUGCGGUAGAGUUGUGAGAUAUUUGAGAAACACACUUGGUUCGAUUUUGAGAUUUCUGAGUGAUUGCAUCUUGUUCGGAACUUUUUUUUUGAUCUUGACUGUGGACGUAGUGUUAUUCUUCUUCUCUUUUCUAUACUAUACUGUGUGAUUGUGCGAUUUGUGUGUGUGCCUUAUAUUUGCGUGUUUAUUAUAACACCUGGCUUAUCAAGUGACUCUACUGCUGCUGUAAGUCUAAACUUCUAUAAUUUCUUUAUAAUCUUGUUACAAAUUUCAUGAUAUCGCUUGGGUUCUUUUGUAAACUAAAAGUUCAGUUUAUUGCUAAUUUGUUUGAUGUGGGCGUAAAGUUCACUUAAAAACCAUGGAAGCCUAUAACGUAUAUCGUGUAUUACUUGACAAUAAAAGGCUGGAAAAUCAGUUCUAAAUGUUAUGGAGCCUGCCAUGGUUCUGAACUUUGGUUCUUUUGGCUUUUCUCAUAUUUGUGUUUGACAUUCUUAUUAUUAAAGGUAUGCCCCCCUCCCUUCCCCUCCACAUAAGUUUAAGCUAAAUUUCUUCUUUGAAGUCUUUUAUGUCCAAACAUAGGUACCUCAUUUACCUCAUACAUAUGUAGAUGUAUGGUUUUUAACAUGAUGAGAUCAUUUUAAAUUAAUAAGCUUUCUGUUCGUGGUUGAAAGAAUUCUUUACUCUAAGUUUUUCCUGAGAAUGAUCAACUUUAUUUUGAAGACUGUGUAGCCAAGUCCUACGAAGAAGUACAAGCCUCUGCCUUUCAGUAGUUCUUUUUUAUUGAAAUUUUUCACUUUUCAUAUUUUUCCUUGUUUUUGCUGGGUAGAUAAGAAUGAAUAUUUGGCUAAGACCAUCAAACUGUUUAUAAUAUUACAGAAGUGAAGCCAUCAAAACUGUUUAUAAUAUUACAAAAAUGAAGAGUGGUUUCAUAGUUUGUGAAUGAAUAUUCUAUGCUAAUUGGUGACGUAGAACAUUCAUUUUUCCUCAUGCUGGCUUGAUGGAUGAUUUGCUGUACAUACCAAUCUCUCUCUGUUGGAUGCUACAUAGUUCUUACUUAAGGAUUUGUAUGUUUAUUGUCACUUUUUAAUCAAAUUUGGUGACAUCCAACUAUAAUAAUGACAAUGAUAUUUAUGCUGAUAGCUUAUCUGAAUCAUUUGCUUUUAAGUAAAAUAUCUCCCACCCUAAAAGUAAGUUUUAUAUUUAGCUCAAAUACCUUAUCUUAAACCGAUUUGAGACAACACGGCCUCUCAGUCUAGACAUAAACAUCUGGAGCAUGAAAUUUAUAGGCAAACAUAUUUGGGUGACUUAACAUUGAAGUAGGAUAGGUUCUGAUACAAUGUAUAGAAAAUAUACUAGCUUAACUCCACUCCAAAAGUGCUCAAGAGGAGUAGGUUUGCUCAAGUCUUACUUUAGCUUAAAUACCUUAUUCCAAACUAAUGUGGAACAACAGAGGACUCCUGUUGGUGGAGCUGUAGCCAUUUGUAAUCCAUGAAAUUUCUUGGUUAGUGUUUUAGCAUAACACCUAAACUUGAGGAGUUCUAUGUUUCAAGAAGAGUUGACAUCGCGAGGGUUGAAUUAUCUCAUAUUCCUUCCAUAUAUCCACUAAUAUACGUAACCCCCUUUGUCUCAUCUUUUGGGUUGACACUCAUGCUUUCUCUUUUUUGUUUGGUAGUAAAGAAAACUAUAGAUUGGCUAGGAACUCCUGGUAGCGAUUGUAUCUCCUUGACUAGAUCAAUAUAUUCAGUCAGGCACCAUUUUAUAUCAUAUUUUGAGAGGCUACAAUUUACAUUCAAAGGCACAAAGAGGGUGCCUCCCUUGUACAGGAUAAGACUUGUUUGCAAGACUCAAUUCUCCAAGGUUGCUGUCAAGACAGCUAGUCGUGCGGUGUUAAAUUGAGUUUUAAAUAUGAAGCAUUUUCUCAAGAGAAAUAAGAUAUCUUGAAGAAGUUUGACCAUCUAAUUUGUUGAAACUUGGAACAUCUUGAAGAUUUUGGCACCAUUUUUUCAUUAUAUCCAUCUCAAAAAAAGAGAACGACAAAUCUUGUAAAGAGAGCACAAUUACUAGAAAUUGAUAGAUUCGUCAAAUCUGA